rnacentral:piRNA from 1 species
UAUCAGACGAGAUAGGAGUGGUUCUCUGAU